AAUUACGAAACGCAUUGACCUCCACUGACGUCACGCAAAUCGACGCAAGAUCCUACCUUGUAUUCAUUGUAUCAUGUGGAAAAGUCGUCGAAAAGGAGUGAAAAUCAGAUAAACACUCACAAAAAUUAGUAGGAUGGCAACUCUGAUCAGUUGUUGAUUUUUGAUGGUCAAUCACCUGUCAUUGUUCACCCGAUUUGUUGGUUAAAUUAAUGGUUAGAAAGUUAUGUUUGUUUUUCUUUCGUUUGUUAGUGAUAAAUAAACAUGACAGAUGGACAAAAUGAUAGUAACAAUACUGAUUUUGUCUCGGCUAAUGUGUGGGAAGGAUUCAGCAAUUGGUUACAUUGCAUUUGUGUUGUAACAUUUGAUUUAGAAUUAGGACAGGCCCUAGAGACCCAGUAUCCCAAACAUGUUCAACUGACUGAACAGGAAAUAUCGAAUAUUUGUUACUCAGCUUUCCCAGACUCCAACUCAGGAUGUAUGGGAGAUACCAAGUUUGUUAUAAGAUUACCUACUAAAAGCAAAAGAGAUUUUAAUUCUGAACAUGUCAAUUAUAAUAUGAAAUGUCCCCCUGCGCUGAAGAUAGAUGAAGGGUAUAUUUGGGGCUAUGUUUAUUUCAGGCAAGUCAGAGAUAUUAAUCUACCCAGAGGAUAUUUUCAGAAAAGCCUUGUGCUGUUGUCUUACCUUCCCUUUAAUAACUUGUUUACCGAAAUAUGCGAUUAUAUUGCACCUGAAUAUUUUGAUCAUGGGGAAAAAUGUCUAGAAGCAAUUUGUAAUAACAUAAAACGAUGGCCACCCCCAACGCCUGGAAUAAGCUUGGGUUUGCCUAUUUUAGGACAGGUCUUUCAGACUUGCAUCCCUGUAAGCUCCGUUAGAGGAAAUGAAUUCGGAGAAUUUAAGGUUUUAACUCAAGUGGAGGAGUUAAAUCUCUUUGAACUUUUCAAACCUGUCUUAUCUCAUAUUCAUUUGUUAUGGGAACUUGUUAUAACAUCAGAGCCUAUUGUUGUUAUGGCUUCAUCUCCUACAAAUUGUUCCUCUAUGGUUUUAGCAUUGACUAGGCUGAUUUCACCACUGCAGUUCUGUGGAGAUUAUCGACCUUACUUUACCAUACAUGAUAGUGAAUUUAAACAAUAUAAGCAAUACACUUGUAAGGAACGUUUCCCUCGUUUUCCGCCUCCCGCCAUUUUGGGGGUAACAAAUCCAUUUUUUGCCAAAACUUUUCAACACUGGCCCCAUACGAUUAUACUGAAUGAUGGCGCUGGUCAGAAUUCAAAGUACAAAGUGAAGAAGCCAGCCCUAUCAAAAAUGAUUGAAAACUCUUCAGGAAUUUAUACAUCAUAUAAACCCUUUUUGCAAAAAGAUAAAAAUAUUAUUAAAAAUCUGAUGACUGGGGUAAGUUCUAACCGGCCCGACGAAGCUCAAUCUGCCUUAUUAAGGAAGCAUUUACUGGAACUAACUCACAGCUUCAUGUACCCAUUGGAGAGAUAUAUUGCUAGUUUGAUGCCAUUACAGAAAGAUAUAUCUGCUUUCAAGGCCGUACCCAUUCCCAGUCCUUUCAAUCCAGAGAACUUCUUUACAACAUUGGACACAGGUGGACCGCAGUUAACUCUCAACAAAACAAACAUAAAAGGAGACUGGACAGGCCUCUACAGAAAGUUUUUCCGAUCCCGCAAUUUUAAUUCCUGGUACCAUUCAAGGUAUAGGGAAUUGGCUCAAAAAUUGCAAGCCCUUCAUACCGAAGCUCUGUCUAACGCAGAUUUGAAAAAUUGGGUGCAAGAUCGCCCUGAAGUUGAAGUGGUAGACAUGGUUCUGCGGUUGAAGAACAAAAUUGGAGAAUGUGAAAAUGAGAUUCCUGUUAGUGAAACCGUGAAGCAACAACUAAAUGAAAGGAUGCAAGAUGUUGUAACAUCUCUUCCAGAUGAUCUUAAGAAUAUAUUGAAAAUUUCAUGAUACUGGUUUAAUGGGGCUGGAAAUAUUAGUAUUUCUCCACACUUUCUUUCCCAGCCCGUUGCUGUUUCCUAGAAUUGCUUAGAUCAUUUUCCAUUUUAAAUUGGAGAUCUGGUAUCUACCGUUUUCAUGGGAAAUUUACGUGCUUUAGGAAAUGAAUUUUGGAUAUGCUCAAUACCCAGGUAGUGACUUGUAAAGUUCAAGAUCUGGCUUGGAGUCUUGUAGUUGCAAAAGUUCGAGAGGAUGUCAAUUUUUAAGAAUCGAAAUAUUGAUAGUUAAUGUUUAUUAUUGUCAAGUCAAGUUCGUUUAGCAGCAGGCAACAUUUA
rnacentral:misc_RNA from 1 species